CAGACCGCACCACAGCAGUCCCCGGCCCACUUUGCCGGGUCAGGCCAUUACUCAUCUCCUCAGUUCGGGCCACAACAAUAUGGGUAUGAUGCGUUGUGCCCCUCUGAUUUAAGUGCAACGUUUAAUAAUUUGCGGAUGAACCCGAACGCCUCAUGGAAUAAUGACAUUAUGGAUACUGGAGUAGGCUCGCACUCGGCACGCGAUCCAGGAUCUCUUCACUAAACGGACUCUUUCAAGACACAAUAGUACCGGGGACCUCUAUCCUUUCACUCCGCCUGAAUUACCUCCACAAGCCUGCUUCAUCACCACACCAUCCCUUCCUUGGCACGAGCGUCUCGGCCACCCCGGGAAUCAAGUUUUAGAUUUAUUAUGUCGUACAUUUAAUUUUUCAUGUAAUAAAGACACUUUGUCUCAUGUUUGCAAUUCUUGUCAACUUUCAAAUAGUAAACAUUUAUCCUUUUCCGUAUCCAA